rnacentral:rRNA from 1 species
AACGAACGCUGGCGGCAGGCCUAACACAUGCAAGUCGAACGGAUGUAGCAAUACAUUAGUGGAGCACGGGUGCGUAACACGUGGGAAUGUACUCCAGGGUAAGGAAUAAUGUCUGGAAACGGACACUAAAACCUUAUAAUGACUUUGUACCAAAGAUUUAUCGCCCUGGGAUCAGCCCGCGCCUGAUUAGCUAGUUGGUAGGGUAAUGGCUCACCAAGGCUACGAUCAGUAGAUGGUCUGAGAGGAUGAUCAGCCACACUGGAACUGAGACACGGUCCAGACUCCUACGGGAGGCAGCAGUGAGGAAUAUUGCACAAUGGAGGAAACUCUGAUGCAGCCAUGCCGCGUGAGUGAAGAAGGCCUUCGGGUUGUAAAGCUCUUUUAGUCGUGAAGAUAAUGACGGUAGCGACAGAAAAAGCCCCGGCUAAAUUCGUGCCAGCAGCCGCAGUAA